AUUGAACGCUGGCGGCAUGCUUUACACAUGCAAGUCGAACGGCAGCGCGGGCUUCGGCCUGGCGGCGAGUGGCGAACGGGUGAGUAAUGCAUCGGAACGUGCCCAGUAGUGGGGGAUAGCCCGGCGAAAGCCGGAUUAAUACCGCAUACGACCUGAGGGUGAAAGCGGGGGACCGAAAGGCCUCGCGCUAUUGGAGCGGCCGAUGUCGGAUUAGCUAGUUGGUGGGGUAAAGGCUUACCAAGGCGACGAUCCGUAGCUGGUCUGAGAGGACGACCAGCCACAGGGGGAUGGGGCCAGGCCCAAGACCCAGAGGGGAGGCGGCAGGGGGGAUUUUGGGACAAGGGGGGCAACCUUGCCCCAGCCAGGCGGCGGGGGGAAAAAGGGCCUGGGGGUGGAAAACGGUUUUUGUGGGGGAAGAACCCCUUGGGCCUAAACCCCGGGGGGGAGGAGGGUACGGGAAAAAAAAGCACCGGCAAACUAGGUG
rnacentral:rRNA from 1 species